rnacentral:tRNA from 1 species
GUGGUGGCUCAGUGGUAGAGCGCUCGCUUAGCAUGCAUGAGGCACUGGGUUCGAUCCUCAGCACCACA